CCCAAAACCCUUUUGGUCCUAUUUCAUUUCUUCUCCCAAAAUCAAACCCCUCGACCCUCUAAAUUAAAGUAUCAAACCCUCCUUCCUUCUUUAGUCUUCUUCUGUUCUUUAUCAUUCUCUGGGUUUAUUCAUUUCCUUGUGGGCUGUUUCUCACCUGUUUUCUCUGGGUUGUACUUGUUUCAUCAGCCUACCUCCAAAGAAACCUUGUCUACUUAAAUGUCGAUGGUAGACUUUUCAUCAUUGGGUCCAUAACUGAAUUUGUUGCAGAACUAAACAUCGCAGCUAUGUUCGAAAAACGAUUUUCAAUACAAGGGAAAGUCACCUUCUCUAAGCGACGAAACGGGUUGUUGAAGAAGGCUUAUGAUGGAUGCUCGUGAGAAGAAGUAUAAGGCUCUCCUCAACGAUUGUAUGGUAAACGGGACAUCGAGUAAGUGAAAUACUUACUAAUAGAACUAGAUUGUCAAUAAGCUUCCUGAUGGUUUAAUAUAGAUUGAUUGUUGUUAUUUGGCUAUUUGUCUGUGUUGUAACUGAACGUUAGGUUCUUAUUUGAUGUCUUCAUUGUUUUCUCAACCAAUAAUUAAUGGAUAUACUGAUGAAAAUUGUUGAUUUAGCUUCAA